UUAUCACUAUAGACCACAUUUUCUAGGAUUGUAUAAAGAUGGAAUCAUACGGCAGUAUUCCAUUGUGUGGAUAUAUCACCAUUUGGCUAUCCGGUCACCUGUUGAUAAACAUCUGGGUGGCUUCCGGGUUUGAGAGAUUACAAACAAAGCUGCUGUGAACAUUUGUGUCCCUGAACUAACUACUGCCAGUCUUCCUCUUUUUUGCUGAGGAAGCCUGGCCCUGAGCUAACAUCCGUGCCCAUCUUCCUCUACUUUAUAUGUGGGACACCUACCACAGCAUGACGUGCCAAGCAGUGCCAUGUCCGCACCCGGGAUCCGAACUGGUGAACCUCUGGCCGCCAAGAAGCGGACCGUGCAAACUUUGCUGCGCCACUGGGCCAGCCCUGAUCUUUUCUUUAUAAAACUGCCUCUUCUCUACUAGAUAGCCACCACCUCAGGAAAGUCUGUGUCUGACUUAUUGUUGUAUCC
rnacentral:lncRNA from 1 species